GUAGGGAAUCUUCCACAUGGACGAAAGUCUGAUGGAGCAACGCCGCGUGAGUGAAGAAGGGUUUCGGCUCGUAAAGCUCUGUUGGUAGUGAAGAAAGAUAGAGGUAGUAACUGGCCUUUAUUUGACGGUAAUUACUUAGAAAGUCACGGCUAACUACGUGCC
rnacentral:rRNA from 1 species